rnacentral:rRNA from 1 species
GACGUAGGGCGCGAGCGUUGUCCGGAUUUAUUGGGCGUAAAGAGCUCGUAGGCGGCUUGUCGCGUCGACUGUGAAAACCCGCGGCUCAACUGCGGGCUUGCAGUCGAUACGGGCAGGCUAGAGUUCGGUAGGGGAGACUGGAAUUCCUGGUGUAGCGGUGAAAUGCGUUGAUAUCAUGGGGAACACCAAAAGCGAAGGCAGCAAACUGGUCCACACCUGACGCUGAAGCACGAAAGCGUGGGUCGCGAAUGGG